GGAUCCGUCUGGAAAAACAUUGUUACAACAACACCCGCCACCCCGGUCGCAGAGGGAGACUGUGGGCCCUCCGACCUACAGGGGCAUCGCUGAACGUCCUGGCAGCAGAGGGACAGGGGAAAGCGCUGGAUCUUCUACCCCUGAAGUAAGGAUCUUCUGAAUCACUGAGGAGGAGGCUGACAAACUGUGGAACUGAAAGUGGCGUAGGAGGAUCUAUGGCCAGCAUAGAUGAGCAAUGAUCAUGUUCAGACUGAGUGGUGACUUUAUUGGUUACCUUCUGUAUCUCAUAAAAUGGCCUUUGAGUGCAUGUCCGUGGUCAGCUGCAGCUGUACCCCAUCCACUUCACAGUUCGACCUGUUGUGCUUUCGGAGAUGCUUCUGUACACACUGUUGUAACAUGUGGUUACAGUAUUUGAGUUACUGUCACUGUCCUGUCAGCUUGAACCAAUCUGGUCAUUCUCUGACCUCUCAUUAAGGCAUUUUCACCCACAGAACUGUCACUCACUUUUUUUUUGUUUUUCACACCAUUCUCUGUAAACGCUAGAGACUGAAAAUCUCAGGGGAUCAGCAGUUCCUGAGAUACUCAAACCACCCCAUCUGGCACCGGCAAUCAUUCUACAGUCAAAGUCACUUGGGUCACAUUCCUUCCCCCAUUCUGAUGUUUGGUCUGAGCAACAACUGAACCUCUUGACCACAUCUGCAUGCUCUUAUGCAUUGAUUGGCUGACUAGAUACCUACAUUAAAGAGCAGGAGGGUACUGGUGUUUGUAGUAAAGUGGCCACUGAGAGUAGGAGCAGGAUUAGGCCUCUCGGCCCAUCGAGUCUGUUCUGCACAGUAAACGGUAGGGCAGAGGGGCCCACUCCUGCUCGCAUUUUCUUGAUGGGCUGAACGGCUCCCUUUCAAGGAAAUAUUAAGUAUAGAACAGGGCAACAUGGGAAGAGGCCAUUUGGCCUGCAAAGUCUGUGCUGAACACAAUGCCGUAAUAUGCUCAUCUGCCUGUUCAUUGGUCCAUAUCCCCCUCUCUACUCUCUGUAGAUUCAUAUGUCUAUCUUGUGAAUGAGAAUCAGGUUUAAUAUCACCGACAUAUGUUGUGAAGUGUUUUAACUUAGUGGCAGCAGUACAUUGCAAUAUGGUAUAUACAAACCCCAUUUCCAGAAAAGUUGGGGCAUUUUCUAAAAUGCAAUCAAAACAAAAAUCUGUGAUAUGUUAAUUCACAUGAACCUUUAUUUAACUGACAAAAGUACAAAGAAAAGAUUUUCAAUAGUUUACUGACCAACUUUGUAAAUAUACACAAAUUUAGAAAUUGAUGGCUGCAACACACGCAACAAAAGCUGGGACAGAGGCAUGUUUACCAUUGUGUUACAUCACCUUUCCUUUUAGUAACACUUUUUAAUCGUUUUGGAACUGAGGAUACUAAUUGUAGUAGAUUUGCAAUUGGAAGUUUUGUCCAUUCUUGCUUAAUAUAAGACCUCAGCUGCUCAACAGUCUGUUGUCUGAUCCUCUUCAUGAUGUGCCAUACAUUUUCAAUAGGAGAUAGAUCUGGACUGUCAAGCUCACGUACUCUGUGUCUACAAAGCCACGCUGUUGUAGCCCGUGCAGAAUGUGGUCUGGCAUUCUCCUGCUGAAAUAAGCAUGGAUGUUACGGGAAGAGACGUUGCCUUGAUGGCAACAUAUGUCUCUCUCAAAUCCUAAUAUACGCCUCGGAGUCAAUGGUACCUUCACAUACAUGCAACUCACCCAUGCCGUGGGCACUGAUGCACCCCCAUACCAUCACAGAUGUUGGCUUUUGCACCUUUCGCUGAUAACGAUCAGGAUGGUCGUUUUCAUCUUUGGCACGGAGAACUCGAUGCCCGUUUUUUUUCUGAAAACUAGCCGAAAUGUGGACUCAUCUGACCACAGCACACAGUUCCACAGUCUUUUGGUCCAUUUGAGAUGAGCUCGGACCCAGAGAACUUGCCGGCGUUUCUGCAUAGAGUUGAUGUAUGGCUUCCUCCUUGCAUAAUACAGUUUCAAGUUGCAUUUCUGGAUGCAGCGACGGACUGUGUUAAGUGACAAUGGUUUUCCGAAGUACUCCCGAGCCCAGGUGGCUAUAAUUGUCACAGUAGCAUGACGGUUUCUUAGGCAGUGCUGCCUGAGGGCUCAAAGAUCACACGCAUUCAACAGUGGUUUCCAACCUUGCCCUUUAUGCACUGAGAUGUCUCUGAAUUCUCUGAAUCUUUUCACAAUAUUAUGUACUGUAGAUGUUGAAAGACCUAAAUUCUCUGCAAUCUUGCAUUGGGAAAUUGAACUGACUAACAAUUCUCUCACAAAUUUUGGCACAAAGGGGUGAGCCACAACCCAUCCUUGCUUGCAAAGACUGAGCCUUUGAUGGACGCUACUUUUAUACCCAGUCAUGAUACCUCACCUGCUACCAAUGUGGAGUCUUCCAAACCAGUGUUACUUAAAUAUUCUGUACACUUUUCAAGUGUUUUUUGGUGACAUACCAAUUCUCCUCAAACUCCCAAUGAAAUACAGCCACCGUCGUCCUUAAAGAUCAUUAACUUGUCUGCAUCCAACACCAGCCCCAACAGUGCAUUCCAGACUGGAGUGGGACGAGUUGGGAGGGAGAGGGGAAGAUGAGGGGUGGAUGGUAAGAGAAGAGGAGGUAGAGGGGUGGAUGGUGUGGGACAGAAAGGUGGAGAAGAAAUUGAAGAGUGAGGGGUGGAUGAAACGAGACGAGUAGGAAGGGAGAGGGGAAGAUGGUAAGAGAAGGGGAGGAGGAAGGGUAGACAGUGCAGAGGGAAAGAUGGAGAAGGAAGGGGACAGUGAAGGGUGGAUGUAGCAGGACGAGUACAGAAGGUGAGGGGUGGAUGGUGUGGGACAGAAAGAUGAAGAAAGAAGGGGAGAGUGAGGGGUGGAUGUAGUGGGACGAGUAGGGAAGGUGGGGGUGGAUGGUAAGAGAAGGGGAGGAGUAGAGGUGGAUGGUGUGGGACAGAAAGGUGGAGAAGGAAUGGAAGAGGGGUGGAUGGAGCGAGACAAGUGGAAAGGGAGAGGGGAGGAUGGUAAGAGAAGGGGAGGAGGAGGGGUAGAGUGCAGAGGGCAAGAUGGAGAAGGAAGGGGACAGUGAGGGGUGGAUGGGGCGGGAUGAGUGGGGAGGGAGAGGGGAAGGUGAGGGGUGAAUGGUGGGGAGGGGACAAUGGUUAAGAGAAGGGGAGGAGGGGGUGGAUGGUGUGGGACAGAAAGGGAAGGGUAAGCACUGCAGAUGCUGGAUUCUGGAGCAACUAACAAUGUCUCAGAGGUUGACCAAUGCCCGUGGAGGGGAGAGGAACUGUCAACAUUUGGGGUGAAUGCUCCAAAUCUCACCUGACUAAUGCCUUCCAAAGCCUCAGUGUCACACCCUUGCCUCUCUGGGAGGAGGUGUGUAUGAAAGUUUGAAUGAGAGGGUUAGCAGAAUAGGGAAGUGGACAGGGGUGUGGCAGUGAGGAUUGUUUAGUAACCGUAUUCCCAGCAAUUUGUGUUUUCCUUUCAAACUUCCAGCAUCUGCAGCUCUUUUAUGUGAAAGAGGAGGAAGCGCUGGUUUGAAGUGGUGCAGUAGGGCGAGGAAAAUAUUUGUGAGAAGCUGAGACCAGUGUAGAGAUGGCAGAGACCACAGACAUUGGAAUUUGGAGCAAUUCGCAAUCUGCUGGAGGAACUCAGCAGCUCAGGCAGCAUCUGUGAGGCAUGAUGACAGUCGCCAUUUCAGGUUGAGACUGUCCUCUAUCUCAAUGAGUCAUACAACAGGAAAACAGGCCCUUUGGCCCAUCCAAUAGCCCUAUCUAAACUAGGCCUAUUUGACUCAUAUACCUCUGAACCUUUCCUCAUCUGUGUACCUAUCCAAAAGACUUUUAAAUAUUGUUAAUGUAGCGGCGUCAACCAUUUCCACCAGCAGCUCGUUCCACAUACGGACCACCCUCUGGGUGGAAAAAUGCAGGGUGCUGGGACCAGAGGCAAGGGUUGGACCACUUCUGCUCACUGCCCCAUGGGUUUACUCAGCUCUGCACUGAACUGAAGUUGUGGCCUGCUCCAGCUGCAAUAAUGCCGGGCUUCAUGUCCUUGGGCUCACUUUUGUUCUGAAUGCUAUUUGCUUACUUUUAUUGUCUGCACAAUUUGUUUUUUUUCUCUCUGCACAUUGGUUGUCAGACUGUUUUUUUUAAAAAUAGGUUCUAUUGGGGUUCUUUGUUUUGUGCCUGCUUGACAGGAGUCAUGACUCAAGGAGUGUAUAUAGUAUACAUACUUUGAUAAUAAAUGGACUUUGAACUUUGAAAAGAUGUUGCUGGGGUUCCUCUUAAAUAUCUGCUCUCUGACCUUAAACCUGUGUCCUCCAGUUCUUAAUUCUCCAACUCUGGGGAAAUGAGUGUACAUUCACCCAUUGAUGGACCCUACUUUUAUACCCAGUCAUGAUACCUCACCUGCUACCAAUGUGGACUCUUCCAAACCGGUGUUACUUAAAUAUUCUGUACACUUCAGUUUCCGAUGCUCUAAGGGAUAAAGUUCUAGACUGCACAACAUCCCCCUCAAGUACACAGAUUUGCUAUGAUCAGAGUCCAGCAAAUUUUGACGUAGCUACCAUGGUCAGCAUUCUAACUGGUUGCAUCGCUGUCCGGUAUGGAGGGGCCACUGCACAGGAUCAGAAAAGGCUGCAGGAGGGUUGUAGACUCAGCCAGCUGCAUUACCACCUCCCCACCAUCGAGAAAACCUUCAAAAGGCGGUGGCGUCCAUUUAUUAAGGAUCCCCAUCACCCAGUACAUGCAAGGCAGCGGAGGUUCGAGAUCAGAGGUUUCCUUCUCCCCUAGAUGAGCUGCCAACCGCGGCUGACGAGUCCCGUCUGCCCGAAGCGACUGGUUUUAAGGCGCCAGAAACCAAUUAUGUCAGUAAAUGAGGUUCUGCUGGGCUCAGUUGUAAAGCCACACGUGACGGCCAGGGUCUGGAUUUGGUUGUCACAGGCUAUUUGAGGCGCACCCCAUUGGUCGCAUUAAUAGGGAGUGGGAGCAGCAAAAGCCACAAGCAAAUGAGACACAGAAUACUAAACGUCAAACCGCAGUCAUUGAAACAAGCUACAAAUGUUCAGUUUUGUUCAAUUUAACGCUGUCAUUCACUGACUAAGCCAGUCCGCCCCCGAUCAAAAUCACAGAAAAUAGUAAUAUAACCAGAAACAUUUAACACAAACGCGAACUGCAGAAUCCUCUAAAAAUGAAUCCAGCCCAAAAACCACACUGAUCAAACUUUGACCAAGACCCAUGGCUGACUUCACGCUCAUCCUCGUAGAUUUCGAUCUUGCUCAGUAGGUGAGAAAUGGAGCUGAUUGUGGGUCUGCGCUCUGCCAUUAGGCUCCGUUCUCGACCUCGUUGAGAGGGCAGUGGAUAUGUGGAAUGAGGUGUUGGAGGAAGUGGUAACAACAUCUAAAAAUGUUUAGAGAUGUAUGUGGUUAAGAGAGGUGUGGGCCAAACAUGACAACUGGGACUAUGUCACUCAGUGUGGACUCGUUAUUCUGAACAAGUCGGUAGGAAGGUGGGAAAGGGUUUUCAAAGAUCAAAGUAAAUUUAAUAUCAAAGUCAGCACAUACAGAAUCAGGUUUAAUAUCACUAGCAUAUAUCACGGACUUUUUUUAUGCUACUGCAGUACAUUGCAAUACAUAAUUAUAACUGUAAAUUACAGUAAGUAUACAUAUUAAAAAAGUUAAAUUAGUAGUGCAUAAGAAAGAAAAAAAAUAGGUAGUGUUCAUGGGCUCAAUAUCUAUUCAGGAAUCUGAUGGCAGAGGUGAAGAAGCUAUCCCUGAAUUGUUCCAUGUAUGCCUCCUCCCUGGUGUGGUCUUGCAGACAUACUCAAUAAAUCUAAAGAAUGAUAGUCAUAACAGGAUCAAUGAAAGACCACACCAACUAGAUGAUAUUCAACCAGAGUGCAGAAGACGACAAACUGUGUAAAUACAAAAAAGAAAUAAUAAAUAAAUAAGCCAUAAAUAUCAAGAACAUGAGAUGAAGAGUCUUUGAAAGUGAGUCCAUUGGUUGUGGGAACAUUUCAAUGACAGGGCAAGUGAUGCUUAAUGAAGUACAGUUAUCCCAUUGGUUCAAGAGCCUGUUACUGUUGUUGGUUCUAAUUCUACUCCUAUAUCUAACAGUCUUAUUAAGGCAGAGAUUGAUAGUUCCUUGAUCGUUCAGGGUUACGGGGAGAAGACAGGAGACUGGGGCUGAGAGGAAAAAUGGAUCAGCCGUGAUGCAAUGCCAGAGCAGACUCGAUGGGCCAAAUGGUCUAAUUCUGCUCCUGUAUCU